rnacentral:rRNA from 1 species
GGGGAAUUUUGGACAAUGGGGCCACCCUUAACCAGCCAUGCCGGGGGAGGUGAAAAGGCCUUCGGGUUGUAAAGCUCUUUCGGCGGGGGAAGAAUUGCAACGGCUAAUAAACGUUGUUGGUGACGGGACCCCCCUAAGGAGGAACGGGUAACUACGUUCCAGCAGCCGUGGUAAUACGUAGGGUGCGAGCGUUAAUCGGAAUUACUGGGCGUAAAGCGUGCGCAGGCGGUUUCGUAAGACAGACGUGAAAUCCCCGGGCUCAACCUGGGAACUGCGUUUGUGACUGCGAGGCUAGAGUACGGCAGAGGGGGGUAGAAUUCCACGUGUAGCAGUGAAAUGCGUAGAGAUGUGGAGGAAUACCGAUGGCGAAGGCAGCCCCCUGGGCCUGCACUGACGCUCAUGCACGAAAGCGUGGGGAGCAAACA